AGCUCCAAUAGCGUAUAUUAAAGUUGUUGCAGUUAAAAAGCUCGUAGUUGGAUUUCUGGUGGGAACGUUUGGCCGGCCGUAACGGUUUGUGCUGAAAUGUUUUUCGCCAUCCUUGACGAAUACUGGUUCGCCAUUAAGUUGUGUGAGCUUGGAGUCGUCAUCGUUUACUGUGAAAAAUUGAGUGUUCAAAGCAGGCUUAUGCCGUUGAAUACAUUAGCAUGGAAUAAUAGCAUCGGAUCAUCGUUCAGCUGUUGGUGUCUGGACGAGGAUAAAGGUGAACAGGGAUUGUUGGGGGCAUUCGUAUUUAACUGUCAG
rnacentral:rRNA from 1 species